UUGGGUUAUUGUAAAUCCACCAAUGUCCUCAUGAACGUCCAUUUUUCCAGGUGGUUGUUAUCAAAGGAUUUUAUUGCCAUCGAUGAACGUAUAAUUAUAUAUGUAAUUAUUUAUG